rnacentral:rRNA from 1 species
UACAUGUGGGGCAAGCGUUGUCCGGAAUUAUUGGGCGUAAAGCGCGCGCAGGCGGUCUUUUAAGUCUGAUGUGAAAGCCCACGGCUCAACCGUGGAAGGUCAUUGGAAACUGGGAGACUUGAGUACAGAAGAGGAAAGCGGAAUUCCACGUGUAGCGGUGAAAUGCGUAGAGAUGUGGAGGAACACCAGUGGCGAAGGCGGCUUUCUGGUCUGUAACUGACGCUGAGGCGCGAAAGCGUGGGGAGCAAACAGG